GCGGCCGCCGCGGCAGUCUUGCCGGUGGAGCCCGGGCUCGUUUCUCCGCCCCCUCCCCGCCCAGGCUCAGUAAACAGGGCUUGAGAGCCGGGGCCUGCCGGGCAGGGCUGAGUGUCUGAGGACAAGGCGCUGGCUUUGCUAAUCACAUCACAAGACCUUGAGCGAGGGCCAAAGGCGCGGAGUGGCGCGGGACGUCCCGGGCGGGGGAGCUGACUCUGAGGACAGGAGGAAAGGCCGGGAGAGCCGUGCGGGCUUGAAGGCGACUUAGCGCCACCCUUUCCGUCUGCUGGUCGGCCCGGCCUUCCCCAGCCCUCUGGGGCUGGGGGUGCAGCUGCCUGCCGAGGCUCCCCGCCCGGCACAGCCUGGGCCUGUUGCGUUCUUCCAGCCUCUUCCCUCCCCGGCAGUGGGGGCGCCGCGCCCAGCCUUUGCUCGAUGAGGGCUGCAGGAUCCGGCUGAGACCAACCCGCGGCGCAGGUGAGGCUGCACAGACGCUAAUGGUGGGCGCGCCACCCUCUUGUUUUCCCUCACUCGCCAGCCCCACACCCCAACAGCUUGCGCUGGAAAAUGCGCUUUGCCAGCGGGCGCCCCGCCUUCGUCCGGGUACGGAGCAGACACUCCCAUCUAGCGCCCAGUGAGGCUAAAGCCGCUGACAGCCCCACUAGGAACGAUCUGGAGUCUGGUCUAGGGCACUUCUCGCUCCGCGUUCAUACAUACAGGUUGCCAAAAAGCUUGGGCCUGAAGCUCGAAGGUCCCGGACCCGCUGGGGAAAGAACUAGGCCUGCCACUCAGGGAUUCGAGUCCCUGGAGUGUAGCCUGCAUUUCCCGCUACUGUACUCCGCUCAUGGCCCAGGCAGCCAGAGUCCAGGGUAAGAAUCAGGAAUGCUGGGCUGGAGUUCAGGCCCUGCCCCAUAUAAAUCAUGUGGUCUUAGGCAAAUCACAUCAUCUCUUUGGUACUUGGGUUUCCUUGUUAAACGAAGAUAAUAUUCCUGCUUUAUUCAUCUCUCACCUUUGGCAAGGUGCAAAUGAUACCUGUGAAGGUGUUUAAAAGACAAGAACUAAACCAUCUUUAUGUAUUAAACCAAAUUGACAAAAGCAUAAGGGUGGAGAAAGCCAGGCUUCUGAACUAUGGCCAGAUGCACAGACAGCCACAGAAUCACGAGUGCAGAGCUGUGGGGGCACCCAAGUCCUGGACCCUACGACUCACAGCCAAGAGUAGGUGACCUCAGAGGGACCAGUUUCACUUUUAGCACCUACCCUACAUUGACCCCUUGACAUACCUGGGCAACUGUGGUCUGGUUUGUUCUUUGGUGAGAUGACCCCAAACAUCUCACCAAACUGUGAAACAGCCACUUCCCUAGGCACUCCUAUUAGGUUAGUAACAAGAUUUCAGAUACAGAACCAAUGGAAACAUCUGUUUGAAUCAAUGUCCAAAUCUGGGGUGAGUCCCAGUCAACAGCUGUGAGAACACCCACUUUGCAGAUUAGGAUUCUGGAGAUAACAUGUGGACAUGUGAUGGGACAUGCUUGUGUACAGAGUACCUGCUAGUAUAAAAUGUAUAAUGUAGCUGCUUUUAUUUCAUUUUAAAUGGAGAAAAAAAAGAAGUGCUGGCCAUUUCCAAUGAGCUGGGGCUUUGUUGGGCCAGUUUCAU
rnacentral:lncRNA from 1 species